GACGAACGCUGGCGGCGUGCCUAAUACAUGCAAGUUGAGCGCUGAAGGUUGGUACUUGUACCAACUGGAUGAGCAGCGAACGGGUGAGUAACGCGUGGGGAAUCUGCCUUUGAGCGGGGGACAACAUUUGGAAACGAAUGCUAAUACCGCAUAAAAACUUUAAACACAAGUUUUAAGUUUGAAAGAUGCAAUUGCAUCACUCAAAGAUGAUCCCGCGUUGUAUUAGCUAGUUGGUGAGGUAAAGGCUCACCAAGGCGAUGAUACAUAGCCGACCUGAGAGGGUGAUCGGCCACAUUGAGACUGAGACACGGCCCAAACUCCUACGGGAGGCAGCAGUAGGGAAUCUUCGGCAAGGGACGAAAGUCUGACCGAGCAACGCCGCGUGAGUGAAGAAGGUUUUCGGAUCGUAAAACUCUGUUGGUAGAGAAGAACGUUGGUGAGAGUGGAAAGCUCAUCAAGUGACGGUAACUACCCAGAAAGGGACGGCUAACUACGUG
rnacentral:rRNA from 1 species